rnacentral:rRNA from 1 species
UACAGAGGGGGCAAGCGUUGUUCGGAAUUACUGGGCGUAAAGGGCGCGUAGGCGGCCCGCUAAGUCGAACGUGAAAUCCCCCGGGCUCAACCCGGGGAACUGCGUCCGAUACUGGGCAGGCUUGAAUCCGGGGAGAGGGGAUGCGGAAUUCCAGGUGUAGCGGUGAAAUGCGUAGAUAUCUGGAGGAACACCGGUGGCGAAGGCGGCAUCCUGGACCGGUAUUGACGCUGAUGCGCGAAAAGCGUGGGGGAGCAAACAGGG